CGUGAUGUUACUUCAAAAACCAAACAACUAUGAUCGCCGGAAGAAACCAUCUAUCUUUCAUUAAUUCUUUUGUAAAUGUCGUCUCUGGUCUGCACGCUUAGAAAGCGUGAAAAGGUCCAUUUGAUCACAACGUUGUCAACGGUGGAACUAAAAUAUUCUCGGCCCAUUUGAUCUAUGCUUUCCAUGUGCACUAACUAACGAGCAUCCCCUGGUUGUGCCUCACCAACCCAGCUUAGAUAAAAUAAUGGGGAUUGGAGGAUUGAAGGACUAAAUAAUGAACCAUCCCUCGGCAAACUAGCCA
rnacentral:lncRNA from 1 species